rnacentral:misc_RNA from 1 species
GUCUUCCAUGCAUCAAUGCCAAUAUUUCAUCUUUGGACCUUUGCUAGCUCCAUCAUCAACCCACGGAAUAGGGGAAAAAAAAAACGAAACACUUAAAUUAAUGGGUGUUUACAUAAUGAUAUCGGAGUUUUCUUUGUCUCCAACACUGUGAUAGAUUGGGAGAUCAACUUGAAUGCAAUUAGAGUCUAAUAAAAACAAGAAUUAUUGAUUUAAAAAUGUAUUGAAUAGCAAAUUGAACAAAAGCAACAAAAUUAGGAACCUUCAAAGAAAUUCUGAGCUUAGUUUGAGUAAUGAAAACCAUACCUAACUGCAAUGCCUCAUCUUCAUAGUGAAAAUCUUGAAGCUUAAGACUCAAGAGUACCAAUCAGAAGUACCCUAAAAUCAGUGCCAACCUUAAACAAUCUUA